rnacentral:rRNA from 1 species
UACGGAGGGGACUAGCGUUGUUCGGAAUCACUGGGCGUAAAGCGCACGUAGGCGGCUUCUUAAGUCAGGGGUGAAAUCCUGGAGCUCAACUCCAGAACUGCCUUUGAUACUGAGAAGCUUGAGUCCGGGAGAGGUGAGUGGAACUGCGAGUGUAGAGGUGAAAUUCGUAGAUAUUCGCAAGAACACCAGUGGCGAAGGCGGCUCACUGGCCCGGUACUGACGCUGAGGUGCGAAAGCGUGGGGAGCAAACAGG